rnacentral:lncRNA from 1 species
AAAUGAGGUAGAGAUGAUGAUGUCCAGUAUUAUUUUCCCCCAGGACUUGCCUGAGAUGCUGUUGAACAUCAGCUCACUGAAUGAGAGGGGUCUUGACGUAGGAGACAUCACGGCCCAGGAGAAGCCAUGGGGAAGGCAGGCACUGUUGGGUCCCAUGGCCUUCCGCGGCCUCUUGUCUCUCUGAUCCGGAUCCGCUCCCUCCUUUCUACACGUGUCUUUAUGAUUCCUUGCAAUGCUAAUUAAUAGUCUCUUAUCCUCCAGACGGGACAUACAUGUUCAUUUCCCCACGAUUUUUGACUCCUCACACUUUUUCUUAUCCUAUCUAAUAUGCCGCUGAAGCCUGUCACUUUAUCCGGUCAACAUUAAUUGACUGUUUAUUAUUUAUUUACCUGGUGCCAGCCACUGUCUUAGAUGCCUUUUUGUUGCCUGUCAUCUCUUAUACUCAUUAGGCUGCCUCCCCUGAGAACUGAGAACACUCGGUGUCAGUGACUUCCAGUUGCUUUUCUCUCAAACGUGAAGCAUUCAUUACCUUCCUCGUUCACAAAGGCAAUGCCCAAGCUGAAAUUAUAAACAUAUUUUUCCAAAGAGUCUAAGAUGUGAAUGUUUUCGGAUCUUGAUUUAGCAUCGGAGGAUGAGAAACAAGGUGAAUAAAUGAUGACAUGUUUAGGAAAUAUGUUCCAUCCACGUAUUUCCUAAAAUACAUGAGAUUUAUAUGGAAGUAAGAAGUAAAACCAUGUUAGAAAUAAACACCCGCAGAUAUAGUUAAUUGGACUUUCCUGUACUUCAAAGUUGCCGGAAAAAGAAACGAAAGCGUGGUUGCACUAUUACUAUCUUAAAUUCUGUUUUCAUUUGAUUGUUUCAUUUACAAAAUGGCAGCCAAAGACAGGAUGGUGGGAGCGUGUGUCUUCACUGCACGUAUCAUGAACAUAAAGUGUGUACACGUGAAGCUUCACACAUCCAUAUGGAUGUUAUCUAUUGCUCCAUCGAGCAGUCCUCUUAAUUACGCUUUCUAUAUGCUUUGUGCAGCCAGCCAUUGAUCUUUGAAGUACCGUUGUCUGGUUCAAAGACUUGUAAUUAGGCAGAAAGAUCUGGUAAAAUGAAUUCUAUGGAAUUAUUCAAAUGCCCUGUGUGUAUGAAAUUGUUCAUCUAGAUUUAUUUAUCUGGAAAAAGGCACUUUGAAAGAUGCACUGCGUCUAUUUAAAAAUUUCUAUUCCUCUCCAUUAUUUACUGAGAUUUCAUGCAUUUUCUUGGACAUUUGCAAAUUGCAGGGCUUCUUUUCUGUUUUGAUAUGAAACUGCUUUGUGCUUUCCUGUGGGCCUGUUAAUUGGUGAGCUCUUUAUCCAUGAGAUCAAGAAUCAGGGGCUUCUUUAUUAACCCAUUGUGAGCGCUAAGAUAUUCCCAGGGGUGUGGAAAAGAGGGGUUGCAUUUGAGACUUCAUGCUCUUCCUAUUCUGUUACAACACCAGUCGCAGCCUGGGAGAUGCGAUCAAGAAAGACAAGAAGAAUUUAAUAAACAGUUUAGAAUAAUAUCCCCUUAUACUGAGGAUGCUGUAAUGAGCCUUUUUGUCCCGCUUAUUUGGUUAGCACUUGUGGUUCCUUUUCCUUAUGGGACCUUUCUCAUGCAGGAUGAAACAAUCCUGUUAGGGACUUUAAAAUAAAUAAUUGAAUUUUGCAUUGCAGUUUUGGAAACCAUGAAAGGAAUGGUGUUUAUUUUUCUGGAAGGCAUUGUCCUCGUCUGUAGGUGGUAGUGUGAAACGUCUUUGAAUUUUCUUCCUUGAAAAUGGAGGGACCAGUAGAUUCCUUGUUCCUCUUUCACACAUAAAUACACCAUCAUCACAUGCCUUUCUAUAAAUGUAUGAAUUUACCUUCUAAGUAGUCUGAGAAAUUAUCUCUGCACAAAGAGUUCUCCUGGGAUUUAUAAGGUUUAGAACUGGGGGAGGGAGUGGAGGCAGCCUUGCACAGUUUCCAAGACUCCUAGGGAUUUGAAUUCUCCAUUGCUACAUGGUUUGUUUGUUUGUUUAUUUAUUUAUUUAUUUAUUACCAAAACACAUAACACCCUGUUCUAGGACCCUGCUAUUGCUCCAUUUUGGCAUUUUCAGAGUGUGGUUUUUUUCCUUUUCUCUGAUUAGCCUCUGCUUCCUGUUCCUGCUGCUGCUGCUGUUCUAAUACAAGUGCCAGUAAACAGUAAGCUCCAGCACGCAGGGAGAGUUUUUUCUCCAUGAUUCUUAACAGCUUUUACAUCAGAAUGAUUUGCUGCCUGGCUGGUUUGGCCAUUUUACCUUAAAAAAACAUAUAUAUGUAUGUGUGUGUGUGUGUGUGUACAUGCAUAUAGACACAUACAUACCUAGAUGUAUAUACAUAUAUACAUAUGUGUGUGUAUAUACACACAUACGCAUAUAGACAUAUAUAUACAUAUAGUCCAGACAGGGGACCUAAAAUGCCUUUCCAACACUUUAGAAAUCUGCUUGUUGUCAGCUUGCCAUCCAUCCUCCUACCUGAGGCUGUAGGAUCUUUGGUCAGCCUGGACAUUGGUGGUGAGCACAUCUGGGUCCUCUGGAUUAAACAGAAGGAAUGAGCCCAGGUGAUCAGGACUCUAAGCACCACACUUCACCUACCUGUUUAGUCAUCAUUAUAAUUGACAUCAGACAAUGUUACUUUCAGAUGCUGAAAUCCCUUUCGCCCAUUCCUUCUCCCCUAAAGACAAGGUCGGUGCACUUUAAGAUUUUGUUUCCCCUGCAAGUGGCCUGCAGAAAAAAAAAGGAUAAAAAUAACACAUUGUGUGUCACCUAGGCUUCUCUGGGCACACAGCAUUUCUGUUAGCCAAGGUGUAUGCAAAGGGGAGGCAUUCUGAUGUGUACAGAAAUAGACUUAAUAUGCAAGUGUGAAAAGAACACUUGACUUAGCCGUUAAACAACCUGUGUGAUAGGAAUGAUUUUGUAACUGGCUAUGUGAGCAGGCAGGUCACUUCACUGGGCUUCAUUUUUGUCACAUGUAUGGCUCUUGCAAACUGAAAAAAAAAUUAGUUGUUUUUAUUUACAUAAAUUUUCUCUUCUGAAGCAAUAAUUAGGCAUACAUAUCCACUUUGUCCUCUUAUAAGAUCUUAAAGCUUCUCAAAACUUAAAUAUUACCAAAGGGACAGAAAAACAAAUCUCUGCACAAAAAUAUUGAGUGACUAUUUUAAUCUGAGUUUAUGUAACAAAACCCAGCUACUUGCUGUAUACAAUUACAGCCACCACAGCAAAUGCAAAAGAGCAUUUAUGUAAUUUAUUAAUUGCAAUAUCUGCUUGAUUCUCUAGAGUUGCCAUGUCAGGUAGACAGCAGAGGUUGCAAACUCUCCACAUCAUACCUCCAAUUAAUUACAUUUUAUUGUACUUUUCUAGUAGAAAGCUGUGCUAGUGAUCAAAAAAUAUGUUAAUCACAGAGUACAGUACAUGUGACAUUUAAAAUCAUGUAAAUGCAAAACUCAUACGUUUUUAGAAAAAGUAGACUUCAAGCCAAAAAAAAUUAAAUAAGACAAAAUUAUAACAUUAGAAGCCAUUACUACUAUGAAGUUAUAACAAUUAUGAAUAUUUAUGUACCAAAUAACACAGCAUCCGCCUGCAUAAAACAGAAAUCAAUGGAAUAACAUACAAACUCCAGAAUAAUCCAAUUACAUGUAGAAAUUUAGUGUAAAAUAAAACUAGUAUCUCAAAACAGGGAGAUAAAUACGGUCUUUUUAUAAUAAAUGGUGUUGAGACAACUGAAUAGCCAUUUUGAAAAAGGUAAAAUUAGAUCCAUUUCUCAUACCACACACAAAAAUAAACUCUAAAUGCAUCAGAGAUUUAAAAGUGAAAAAAACCUACACAUACCAGAAGAAAACAUCACUAAAUCCCUGUAAAACCUGGGUGCAGAGGAAGGCUUUUGAGUGAUUAUUAAAAAUUCUGAAACAACAAAACAAAAGAUAAAUUUGCCUACUAAAAAUUAAAAGCUUUUAUGUGUCAAAAAGCAAACAAACAAAACAUUCAUGAAGGAAAAUAGCAUCAGCAAAGAAGUUAAAAGAUAAGUGACCCCUAGGAGAAAGUAUUUUCAGCAUCUAUUACAAAUAAAGAGCUACUGUCUCUAAUUAGUUAGCAUCUUUUAAAAAUUAAGGAGAAAUGAACAAAAAUCAUAUAGAAAAAUGGGCAAAUGACAUGAAGGAAACAAUUCACAAAAAAAGGAACAUGUGAAAAGAUGUUCAAAUUCACUCAAAAUUAGAGAAAUGCAGAUUGAAACAACACUAAUCUAUUUCUCAUCCACCAGACUGGCAAAUUUAAAAGCUUGAUGAUACAUUCUUUUGGCCAAGCUAUAAAGAAAUAGGCACUCUCAUACAUUGCUGAUGGGAAUAGGAAAUGGUACAGUCUUUACAGAGGAGGAUUUGCAAUACCUAACAAAGCUGUAUGUGAAUUUGCUUUUGACUCAGCAAUCCCACUUCUAGGAAUUUAUCCUGAAGAUAAACCAACAAUAUAAAAAUAUAUAAACAUAAGGUUGUCCACUGAAGCAUUUGUUGUUUUUGCAAAAUAUUGGAAACGACUUAAGUGUCCAAGUGUAGAGAGUGGUUGCAUCAACUAUAGUAUAGACACACUCUGCAGUAUUAGGCAAUUAUAAAAAAAUUAUGAGAAAGACCUCUGUAAUGGAUUGAUGAAUUCCAUUGAAAUGAAGAAAAACCAUGUGCAAGAGAGUAUAUUAGUAUGCUUCUCAUAUAUGAAAUAAGGAAAAAUUAGAAAGUAUGUAUAUCUGCUUAUCUCAACUAAAAUAUACACAACAAGAAGUAACAAAAAGCAAAAAACAAUGAAGAUGCCUACCUAUAAGGGUUGAGUAGAGAAAGCGUGAAAGGGAUACAGAAGGAACGACACUUCUCUGAAUAUAUCUUUUUAUAUAUUUUUAACUUUUGAAAGCAAGUUAAUGUGUAAAUAUUCAAAAAAUAAAAUUUAUAAGAAUUGGAAAUAAAUUGAAAAAAAAUGAACUCUAUUCCAUAAUGAGUAUUUUACCCCUACUCAAGGGAAAAGGAAGGGAGGUAGGGAAG